rfam:Pteropus alecto contig48816, whole genome shotgun sequence.
GUCCACGGCCAUGCCCCCCUGAACAAGCCCAAUCCUGUCUGAUCUCGGAAGCUAAGCAAGGUCAGGCCUGGUUAGUAUUUGGAUGGGAGACUACUUAGGAAGACCAUGUGCUGUAGGCA